GUCGGCCGACGAGCCGGAGCCGGUGGCUGAGAAAGCCGCUACUACAUCUGAACAAGUUGGCAGCAACUGAACUGAAGAAUGUCCAUCGAUUGAGAAUGCAGAAUGAUCGGGACAAAGACAAUCUCCUGGUUGGUGCGGCGAGUCUGCAACAGAUUGCUGUGAGAGCUCAUGAGACUGCGCAGACGACUUCUGUGCAUGGCCAGUUGUGUAUCGAUGAAGCUGAAGCUGAAGUUCGCGGAUCUGGAAAACGAUGAGAUGCUGGAGUGACUGUGUUGUUGGUGGUCACCUUGUUGACAUGCUGUUGCACCAAUGAUAAUUAGUUCUUCACAGCCGCCGUUGGGCUGUGGUUAUCUCACCUGGAGUCUUGGUGUCGCAUGUUUCUUAGUCAUUUUGAGCUCGUUCUGCCUUUAUGUUCUGUUACAACCCUGCUAGCAUUUCUGAGAGGCGUAUGGGAAAAAAAGAGCUGAAUACCUAGAUGCCAUUGCAAAUCUUUGAGGUGUGCAGGUUAUGAUUGAAA